UGGUUAAGUCCGCAACGAGCGCAACCCUACGUUAGUUGCUAACGCGUGAAGGCGAGCACUCUAGACGAACUGCCGUUGGACAAAACGGAGGAAGGUGGGGAUGACGUCAAAUCAUCAUGCCCCUUAUGUUCUGGGCUACACACGUGCUACAAUGGCCGGUACAGACGGACGCAAAGCCGCGAGGCGGAGCAAAUCCGAAAAAGCCGGUCUCAGUUCGGAUUGCAGGCUGCAAUUCGCCUGCAUGAAGUCGGAAUCGCUAGUAAUCGCAGGUCAGCAUACUGCGGUCGAAUACGUUCCCGGGCCUU
rnacentral:rRNA from 1 species